rnacentral:rRNA from 1 species
UACGAAGGGGGCUAGCGUUGUUCGGAAUUACUGGGCGUAAAGCGCACGUAGGCGGACAUUUAAGUCAGGGGUGAAAUCCCAGAGCUCAACUCUGGAACUGCCUUUGAUACUGGGUGUCUUGAGUAUGGAAGAGGUGAGUGGAAUUCCGAGUGUAGAGGUGAAAUUCGUAGAUAUUCGGAGGAACACCAGUGGCGAAGGCGGCUCACUGGUCCAUUACUGACGCUGAGGUGCGAAAGCGUGGGUAGCAAACAGG